ensembl:lncRNA
AAGCGAAGUGGAAGAACUGGAGCAUAGAAUAACUAUUGGACCACUGAGACAACAGCGGAUUACUGAUCAAGCCUAUAAUAUUAUCUGCUGAAGGGUUGUAUCUUAUUAUCACCACUGGACUCUUUCCGAAAUGGAGGGAAAAGCUUUUAUUAUAAUGUGCAUUUUUAUUGCAACAGUCCACGCGCAAAGUUCAACAACUCAGUCCACAGUAGAUUCAACAACCGACACCUCUGCAACACCCACAGCUACAAUGACGUCUUCAACAACCACUACAACUCUUGCUGAAUCAUCCACUACUACUGCAGGAGUUACCACGACAGCACCACAAACUACUUUUACAACAGCUGAAUCCUCCACAACAGCUACAACAACAGCAGAUCCUUCAACAACCACUACAACUAUUGCUGAAACAUCCACUACUACUGCAGGAGUUACCACGAUACCACCACAAUCUACUGUUACAACAGCAGAAUCCUCCACAACAGCUACAACAACAGCAGUUCCUUCAACAACCACUACAACUCUAACUGAAGCAUCCACUACUACUGCAGGAACAACCACAACAGCCCCACAAACUACUGUUACAACAGCAGAAUCCUCCACAACAGCAACAACAACAGCAGUGCCCUCAACAACCACUACAACUCUUGCUGAAUCAUCCACCACUACUCCAGGAGUUACCACAACAGCACCACAAACUACUGUUGCAACAGCAGAAUCCUCCACAACAGAUACAACAACAGCAGUGCCCUCAACAAUCACUACAGCUCUUGCUGAAUCAUCCACCACUAUUGCAGGAGUUACCACGACAGCACUACAAACUACUGUUACAACAGUUGAAUCCUCCACAACAGCAACAACAACAACAGUUCCCUCAACAACAAUUACAACUCUUGAUAAAUCAUCCACGACUACUGCAGGAGUUACCACAACAGCCCCACAAACUACUGUUACAACAGUAGAAUCCUCCACAACAUCUACAACAACAACAACAGUGCCCUCAACAACCAUUACAACUGUUGCUGAAUCAUCCACGACUACUGCAGGAGUUUCCACGACAGCACUACAAACUACUGUUACAACAGCAGAAUCCUCCACAACAGCUACAACAACAGCAGUUCCUUCAACAACCAUUACAACUCUUACUGAGGCAUCCACUACUACUGCAGGAGUUACCACAACAGCACCACAAACUACUGUUACAACAGCAGAAUCCUCCACAACAUCUACAACAACAACAACAGUGCCCUCAACAACCAUUACAACUGUUGCUGAAUCAUCGACCACUACUGCAGGAGUUACCACAACAGCACCACAAACUACUGUUACAACAGCAGAAUCCUCCACAACAGCUACAACAACAGCAGUUCCUUCAACAACCAUUACAACUCUUACUGAGGCAUCCACUACUACUGCAGGAGUUACCACAACAGCCCCACAAACUAGUGUUACAACAGCAGAAUCCUCCACAACAGCAACAACAACAGCAGUUCCUUCAACAACCAUUACAACUCUUACUGAGGCAUCCACUACUACUGCAGGAGUUACCACAACAGCACCACAAGCUACUGUUACAACAGCAGAAUCCUCCACAACAGCUAGAACAACAGCAGCAACAUCUGAAACACCAGCAACUUCAUCGCCAACAGGUUCAGCCACAGUCUUUACAUCAAUUAUUGGUACAUCCACCAGUGGUACAGCAAUAACCACAAAAGUGACACAAUCUAAAGUUACUACAGAGUCUACAGCAUCUAACACUUCUACAGAACCUGCAGUGUCUACAGCUGCUAUAGCUUCUACUGUAUCUACAGCUUCAACAGCAUCUACAGCAUCAACAGCAUCUACAACCUCUACAGCAUCUACAGCCUCUACAACAUCUACAACCUCUACAGCAUCUACAACCUCUACAGCAUCUACAACCUCCAAAGCAACUACUGCAAAAAUAAUACCUGAAGUGCUAACAGAUCUAGUGUUUAGCUCUUUUGAGACAUUUAUAGAUGCACUCAGUGAUGUCAACAGUGAGGAGUUUAAGAUUAGGUCUAAACUUGUCAAGGAUGAGCUUGAGCCUGUCUACAAAAUCAAGUAUUCUAACUUCCUCAGAUUGAAUGUCCUAAGAUUCAGAUCAGGGUCAAUCAUCACAUCAACACAACUAGCUUUCAGCUUCAACCAAACUAUCCCAUCUGUUCAAGAGAUUUCAAACACCCUCUUGGAAGCAGUGGGAACAGGGGAUGUCAAUCCAUUAAAGAUAAUCCCUGAAUCAAUUUCAGUCAAUGGUUCAGCUACAACUGUUGCUCCUGCAACAACUACAACAACCACCACCACAGCAACUACAGUUUCAGGCGGAUUAAAGAUUGAAUCCAGUCUGUUCCAAGCAAUAUGCCUCAUUAUUAUGUCUAAAAUAUUAAGCUUUUUCCUAUAGAUCCCUUAAACAUAUCAACCAAACAUGAGAGUUCAACAAGACACACUGUAACAAAUUAAUUAAACACAAAAUGUAUUUAUUAUUAUUAUUAUUAAAUGUAUAGUAUUUCUCAUUGUAGCACAUUCUCAAAUACUAGUAUUGAGCAACAUAAAGAUAACUUUGAUAAUGCAUUUUUGCUGAAGAAUAUAACAGUAGAUAUCUGUUUAACAGCAGGCUGUUUUCUGGGAGGGAGAAGUAGAUCUUUUUCCUUAUGUAUUUCCUUUAAAUGUAAACAUUGUGAAUGUUGUUUAACAGUUUUGAGGUUAAUACUGUUUAAACUACUUAUUUUUGUUUGUCUAAGUUCUAACAUUGUAAUAUGUAAUAUUUUAAUUAAAUACAAAUAUUUAUUAAAUGAUGUAGUCCAAAAUAUUUUGCUUUCAUAAAAAAAGACUACAAUACAACUACAGCACAAUAAAUACUAUAUAUGCUAAACCUGG